AUUGAACGCUGGCGGCAUGCCUUACACAUGCAAGUCGAACGGUAACAGGUCUUCGGAUGCUGACGAGUGGCGAACGGGUGAGUAAUACAUCGGAACGUGCCCGAGAGUGGGGGAUAACGAGGCGAAAGCUUUGCUAAUACCGCAUACGAUCUCAGGAUGAAAGCAGGGGACCGCAAGGCCUUGCGCUCACGGAGCGGCCGAUGGCAGAUUAGGUAGUUGGUGGGAUAAAAGCUUACCAAGCCGACGAUCUGUAGCUGGUCUGAGAGGACGACCAGCCACACUGGGACUGAGACACGGCCCAGACUCCUACGGGAGGCAGCAGUGGGGAAUUUUGGACAAUGGGCGCAAGCCUGAUCCAGCCAUGCCGUGUGCAGGACGAAGGCCUUCGGGUUGUAAACUGCUUUUGUACGGAACGAAAAGACUCCUUCUAAUAAAGGGGGUCCAUGACGGUACCGUAAGAAUAAGCACCGGCUAACUACGUGCCAGCAGCCGCGGUAACAC
rnacentral:rRNA from 1 species